GAAAAGAAUGUUAAUACCGCAUGACAUAUCGGAACCACAUGGUUCUGAUAUCAAAGAUUUUAUCGCUUGAAGAUGGACUCGCGUCCGAUUAGUUAGUUGGUGAGGUAACGGCUCACCAAGACCGCGAUCGGUAGCCGGACUGAGAGGUUGAACGGCCACAUUGGGACUGAGACACGGCCCAGACUCCUACGGGAGGCAGCAGUGGGGGAUAUUGCGCAAUGGGGGCAACCCUGACGCAGCAACGCCGCGUGAAGGAUGAAGGUUUUCGGAUUGUAAACUUCUUUUAUUAAGGACGAAAAAUGACGGUACUUAAUGAAUAAGCUCCGGCUAACUGCGUGCCAGCAGCCGCGGUAAUACGUAGGGAGCAAGCGUUGUCCGGAUUUACUGGGUGUAAAGGGUGCGUAGGCGGCUUUGCAAGUCAGAUGUGAAAUCUAUGGGCUCAACCCAUAAACUGCAUUUGAAACUGUAGAGCUUGAGUGAAGUAGAGGCAGGCGGAAUUCCCCGUGUAGCGGUGAAAUGCGUAGAGAUGGGGAGGAACACCAGUGGCGAAGGCGGCCUGCUGGGCUUUAACUGACGCUGAGGCACGAAAGCGUGGGUAGCAAACAGGAUUAGAUACCCUGGUAGUCCACGCUGUAAACGAUGAUUACUAGGUGUGGGGGGUCUGACCCCUUCCGUG
rnacentral:rRNA from 1 species